rnacentral:rRNA from 11 species
ACCAAGCCCAAAAAUACCCUAAAGGAGCCGGAGCCUUCUGAUCUUGGAUGCUAAGCAGGGCCGUCCUUGGUCAGUAUUUGGAUGGGAGACCGCCAGCAAAUUCCUCACCUACGAUCAAGCAGGACUGGUG